AGUGAACGCUGGCGGCAUGCCUAACACAUGCAAGUCGAACGGCAAGACAGUAAGAGUUUGCUCUUACGGGUGGCGAGUGGCGGGCGGGUGAGGAAUGCAUCGGAAUCUACUUUUUCGUGGGGGAUAACGUAGGGAAACUUACGCUAAUACCGCAUACGACCUACGGGUGAGAGCAGGGGAUCUUCGGACCUUUCGCGAUUGAAUGAGCCGAUUUCGGAUUAGCUAGUUGGCGGGGUAAAGGCCCACCAAGGCGACGAUUCGUAGCUGGUCUGAGAGGAUGGUCGGCCACACUGGAACUGAGACACGGUCCAGAGUCCUACGGGAGGCAGCAGUGGGGAAUGUUGGACAAUGGGCGCAAGCCUGACCCAGCCAUACUGCGUGGGUGAAGAAGGCCUUCGGGUUGUAAAGCCCUUUUGUUGGGAAAGAAAAGCAGCAGGUUAAUACGCCGCUGUUCUGACGGUACCCAAUGAAUAAGCACCGGCUAACUACGUG
rnacentral:rRNA from 1 species